AAUGGUGAUGGAGAUCAUUAGGGCAGGUGCUUCUCAUAGAGGAUCUCAGCAGAGGAAGCAGCUGGGUGGAAACAGGGAAUAGUUCCUGAGAUGGCGGCUAAGGCCUGGCUUUCUCUCACUGACACCCACACACCUCCAGCCAAAGUGGAUCCCAUGACCGAUGUCAACGGAGAGAAGUUGCCCCAUUUGCACUGAUAGGCACUGCAAAGACACCUGUAGGGGUGUGGCCGUAUAGUGCUAUUACCAGAGAACAAGAACUGUGACAAAUCAUCUAGUCCGUGCCAGAGAGCAUGAGAAAACUUCCAGGAGGUGACAUUUAAAUUGAGUCUAAAUACAGCCAAGGAACUGGGCCUGGGAUGAUCUUGAGAAGAGUGUCACGAGGAGGCCUUGGCUGGGAGGAGGGCUCACGGCAGGAGCGCACUUGGAGGAGUGGACGAGACAAAGAAUCCAGGGAGGCUGAAGCACUGUGGGCAGGAUCCGGGCCCCCUGGCUUCUGA
rnacentral:lncRNA from 1 species